CGGGCGAGUAACACGUGAGUGACCUGCCUUUUAGACUGGAACAACUUACCGAAAGGUGAGCUAAUGCCGGAUGAGUUAUAUAAGUGCAUGUUUAUAUAGGAAAAGUUGGGGAGACCUGACGCUGAAAGAUGGACUCGCGUCCCAUUAGCUAGUUGGUAGGGUAAUGGCCUACCAAGGCGACGAUGGGUAGCCGGCCUGAGAGGGUGGCCGGCCACACUGGGACUGAGACACGGCCCAGACUCCUACGGAAGGCAGCAG
rnacentral:rRNA from 1 species